UUUAUUGAGAGUUUGAUCCUGGCUCAGGACGAACGCUGGCGGCGUGCUUAACACAUGCAAGUCGAGCGAUGAAGUUCCUUCGGGGACGGAUUAGCGGCGGACGGGUGAGUAACACGUGGGUAACCUGCCUCAUAGAGGGGAAUAGCCUUUCGAAAGGAAGAUUAAUACCGCAUAAGAUUGUAGUUUCGCAUGAAACAGCAAUUAAAGGAGUA
rnacentral:ncRNA from 1 species